GCGGAGGAAAAGAAACCAACAGGGAUUGCCCCAGUAACGGCGAGUGAAGCGGCAACAGCUCAAAUUUGAAAUCUGGUCCCCCCGCGGGGCCCGAGUUGUAAUUUGAAGAGGAUGCUUCUGGCAAGGUGCCGUCCGAGUUCCCUGGAACGGGACGCCGCAGAGGGUGAGAGCCCCGUACGGUCGGACGCCGAGCCUCUGUGAAGCUCCUUCGACGAGUCGAGUAGUUUGGGAAUGCUGCUCAAAAUGGGAGGUAAACCCCUUCUAAAGCUAAAUACCGGCCAGAGACCGAUAGCGCACAAGUAGAGUGAUCGAAAGAUGAAAAGCACUUUGAAAAGAGAGUUAAAAAGCACGUGAAAUUGUUGAAAGGGAAGCGCUUGCGACCAGACUCGCGCCCGUCGGAUCAGCCGUCGCUCGUCGGCGGCGCACUCCGGCGGGCUCGGGCCAGCAUCAGUUCGCCUCGGGGGGAGAAAGGCGGCAGGAA
rnacentral:rRNA from 1 species